rnacentral:rRNA from 1 species
AACAGGAUUAGAUACCUGGUAGUCACGCCGUAAACGAUGUCUACUAGCCGUUGGGGUCCUUGAGACUUUAGUGGCGCAGUAAACGCGAUAAGUAGACCGCCUGGGGAGUACGGCCGCAAAGGUUAAAACUCAAAUGAAUUGACGGGGGCCCGCACAAGCGGUGGAGCAUGUGGUUUAAUUCGAUGCAACGCGAAGAACCUUUACCUGGUCUUGACAUAGUGAGAAUCCUGCAGAGAUGCGGGAGUGCCUUCGGGAAUUCACAUACAGGUGCUGCAUGGCUGUCGUCAGCUCGUGUCGUGAGAUGUUGGGUUAAGUCCCGCAACGAGCGCAACCCUUUUCCUUAUUUGCCAGCGGGUUAAGCCGGGAACUUUAAGGAUACUGCCAGUGACAAACUGGAGGAAGGCGGGGACGACGUCAAGUCAUCAUGGCCCUUACGACCAGGGCUACACACGUGCUACAAUGGUAGGUACAGAGGGUUGCUACACAGCGAUGUGAUGCUAAUCUCAAAAAGCCUAUCGUAGUCCGGAUUGGAGUCUGCAACUCGACUCCAUGAAGUCGGAAUCGCUAGUAGUCGCAGAUCAGAAUGCUGCGGUGAAUACGUUCCCGGGCCUUGUACACACCGCCCGUCACACCAUGGGAGUCUAUUGCACCAGAAGUAGGUAGCCUAACGCAAGAGGGCGCUUACCACGGUGUGGUCGAUGACUGGGGUGAAGUCGUAACAAGGUAGCCGUAGGGGAACCUGCGGCUGGAUCACCUCCUU